AGGAGUGACAACUGCAGGCUGCUGGAGAAACAGCAAGGUUCUCAGAAUUUUUCUUCUACCUUGAUCAAAUGUCACAGAAGGUACUUCCUGGUAUACACACAGGAGUUGCCUGCAGAAAACGUCCUGCAGAAUGUUCCAGGAAUUUGAUCUCCAUGUACUGUUCUGAGAGGCUAGCCUGCGGAGAAUGAAAGUAAGGAGCAAGCAAGUGAUCAUUACUCACCACCUCAAUCCACCCAAGGGCUUUCACCUGGAACCCAAAGUGCGUAAGUAAUUAAGAUUUGUGUUCUUUGGGGAAAGGAGUAUCGACAAAGAUGUAGCUUGCUUCUCAUGUGAGAAAAGUACUUACAUACCUACACAGUUCUACUUGGAAGGCCUAUGCAUUUUACUAUAUGUAAAUUACAACUCAAUUUUAAAAAAAUCUACUAGCAAAGACACCCAUUCUCUCAGGGAACUUGCCCUUAUUUAACCUACAGCUAUAAAUGACAGGGUUCUCUAGAACCAUAUACUUUGUCCCAUAAACGAAGCAGUAAAAAAACCUGAAUAUCUUCCCUCCAACUAAAAUUACAUUAUUUUUCUCAGUUAAAUCUUCCAUUCAAUUACAAUGGACUAUCACUAUACUAUCUGGGUGAGCAAAAGGUAUAAUUUACAAGAAACUUACAGAGCUGAAGGGAUGAGAGAACUAUAACCCUGCAAAGUUGUGUGAGCAUCUGAGGUCCUACACAAACCAGUGGCCUAGAGAACAGGCCUCUAACCUCCCUUAGCCUGGAGUGGCCAGAGCACAAGUGGUCUCAACACAUAACAGAAAGAAUGGACAUUUUCUGGCCAGGCACGGUGGCUCACGCCUGUAAUCCCAGCACUCUGGGAGACCGAGACGGGUGGA
rnacentral:lncRNA from 1 species